AUAAGAUAUACACAUAUAUAUAUAUAUACACACAUUGUCCUAAACUGUAGUGAAUGGUCUCUCAUCACCAUCAUUGUUAGUCAGUCCCAUCUCAUCCUCAUCUUCAUCUUCAUCUUCUUCUUGAUCAAUCUUGAUCUUGAUGAUGGAUCAUCGUCGACAUGAGCGUAGCUCUUUUACAUUAUUUUCUUGUAAUUCAACCAAGCUUCAACAUCACACUUUCAGCAGCACAAGCAGCUAUAGCUAUUUGGAUCAGAUCAGAUCAGAUCAAAAAAUAUUAUUGAUCCCACAUACACUAUACAAAGAUCGAUCAAGAAACACCACAAUUCCAUAGCUUUGAAGAUGAUGAUGAUGAAGAAGAAGAUGAAAAGAAGAAACCCUAAUUUCAGAAGUCUGGUUUUCUUCUUAAUUUCUUCUGUUUCCCGGGAAUUGAAGCCCCAAGGUCCGAAUAUAUAUAUAUAUAUAUAUCAUCCAUAUUUAUAAUUAAUUAAUUUUGUUUCUUUAAUUUCAUUUCAUAUCUACCCAAAAAAAAAAAAAAAUUGUGUGUUUUCACUUCAUCUUCAUUUCUCCUUAUAAUGUGUAUGAGGGUUUUCUAUCCUUCUUGGUUGCAAUUAAAUAAAUAUAUAAUUCCAUUU